rnacentral:tRNA from 1 species
GGUUUGGCGGCUCAGUGGUAGAGCACUUGCUUAGCAUGCAUGAGGCACUGAGUUCAAUCCUCAGCACCA